rnacentral:rRNA from 1 species
GACGAACGCUGGCGGCGUGCUUAACACAUGCAAGUCGAACGGAAAGGCCUCUUUCGGGGGGUACUCGAGUGGCGAACGGGUGAGUAACACGUGAGUAACCUGCCCUUGACUUUGGGAUAACUUCAGGAAACUGGGGCUAAUACCGGAUAGGAGCUCCUGCUGCAUGGUGGGAGUUGGAAAGUUUCGGCGGUUGGGGAUGGACUCGCGGCUUAUCAGCUUGUUGGUGGGGUAGUGGCUUACCAAGGCUUUGACGGGUAGCCGGCCUGAGAGGGUGACCGGCCACAUUGGGACUGAGAUACGGCCCAGACUCCUACGGGAGGCAGCAGUGGGGAAUAUUGCACAAUGGGUGGAAGCCUGAUGCAGCAACGCCGUGUGCGGGAUGACGGCCUUCGGGUUGUAAACCGCUUUCGCUCAUGACGAAGCUUUGUGUGACGGUAGUGGGUAAAGAAGCACCGGCUAACUACGUG